UACCUAGUAGUACGGGGUUAUAGCAAUAUAGCCCCCGUCUGCACCCAUGUUUUUUGCGUACUACAUGUUUCCUCGGCUGGUUCUCCAGCCGAUAGGAUCUCUUAAACUCAUUGUAAUUGCAAUCAGCGUCUGAAAAAAUUAAUAUUUACAACUUUCAACAACGGAUCUCUUGGUUCUGGCAUCGAUGAAGAACGCAGCGAAAUGCGAUAAGUAGUGUGAAUUGCAGAAUUCAGUGAAUCAUCGAAUCUUUGAACGCACAUUGCGCCCCUUGGUAUUCCAUGGGGCAUGCCUGUUCGAGCGUCAUUUGUACCCUCAAGCUAUGCUUGGUGUUGGGUGUUUGUCCUAUCCAUUGCGACUGGACUCGCCUUAAAGAUAUUGGCAGCCGGCAUUUUGGCCUUGGAGCGCAGCACAAUUUGCGAGUCCAAGUCGGAAUACUGACGUCCAGAUAAGCUUUUUACCACGUUUGACCUCGGAUCAGGUAGGGAUA
rnacentral:rRNA from 1 species